GCAGUGGGCAGGGCAGCCAGGUAUCCAUCAAGGGUAGAGCUGGCUCGAGGCUGCACUUAAGGUUUCCCCCUAUUUUAGUUGACCUGUUCCUAGGUCAGAGUCCCCUCCAGGGCCCCAGGACUGCCUCUAGCAGGCUCUGUACCCCAGAUUUUACUGUCCCAGUCCUGAAUCUGCCUUAAAAAAAGUUUUAACAGCUUUUCAGCUUCUUAGCUUUCCUUUUCUGCUCAGUGUCUCAACCUCUCAGUCACCGCUUUCAAAGCAGCAAGUUCAUUGUGGAACAAAGCGGCAGCAAAUGUCAGCUUCCGGCGGGCUGAAGUGGCUCAUGCCUGUAAUCCCAGCACUGUGAGAGGCCGAAGCGGGUGGAUCACGAGGUCAGGAGUUCAAGACCAGCCUGGCCAACAUGGUGAAACGCCGUCUCUACUAAAGAUACAAAAAAUUAGCCAGGUGUGGUGGCAGGCGCCUGUAAUCCCAGCUACUUGGGAGGCUGAGGCAGGAGAAUCACUUGAAUCCAGGAGGCGGUGGUUGCAGUGAGUCAAGAUGGCACCAUUGUACUCCAGUCUGGGCGACAGGGCAAGACUCCAUCUCAAAAAAAAAAAAGUGAGCCUCCCUUCUCCAGGCUUCCCUCUCUACAGAAUCACGGCUUCUCAGGUUCUAGCUGCCUUGUUCUCCAAUGUCUUCACAAAAGUUUCUACAGGGCAUGAUAUAUUCACCUACAAACUUCAUUUCCCAAACUCCCUUGCAGCUAGGGUGGCUACUAGACGCAAUUUUGGCCAAUAAGAUGAAACAGAAGUCACUGGGUGAGAGCCUCUUAGAAAGUUCUUUUGCCCUUCACUCUUCCCCUUCUUCCUGCCUGGGGACUGUGGGCCCCGUCUGAGAAGCAAGCAUCCAUUUUGCAAUUAUGAUGUGAUGAGCAUGAGUGGAAGUCACACUAUAGGGAUAGAUGGGUAAGGGGAGCGAAAGGAGUGUGAAUCCCUGAGGCAUCAUAGAACCUCAGUAACAGGCCUAGAUGGAUUGCCUGCAGACUUUUUAUUCCUAGAGAAAAAAUAAAGUCCUGUUUGGUUGUUACUGUGAGUUGGUAUUUCUUGCAGUUACUUUCAGUGAAUGUAAUUCUAGCUGAUACAAUAGCUGGACAAUCAAGACAUGGAAUAAGAUGGAACCAUAAAAGACCCAGAAUAGCCAAUGCUAGCCUAAGCAAAAAAAAAAAAACAAAACAAAACUGGGGGAAUCACAUUAUCUGACUUCAAAUUAUACCACAGAGCUAUAGUAACCAAAACAGCAUGGUACUGGCAUAAAUACAGACACACAGACCAAUGGAACAGAAUAAGAACCCAGAAACAAAUCCACACACCUCCUUUGACCUUUGUCAAAAAUGAGUUCACACCAGUGAACUCAUUACUAGUGAACUCAUUUUUGACAAAUGUGCCAAAAACAUACACUGUGGAAAGGACAAUCUCUUCAAUAAAUGGUGCUGGGAAAACUGGAUAUCCCUAUGCAGAAGAAUGAAACUAUACCCCUAUCUCUCACCAAAUACAAAAAUCAAAUCAAAAUGGACUAAAGACUUAAAUCCAAGACCUCAAACUGUGAAACUACCACAAGAAAACAUUGGGGAAAAUCUCCAGGACAUUAGUCUGGGUAAAAAUUUCUUGAGUAAUUCUCCAAAGGUAACCAAAGCAAAAAUGGACAAAUGGGAUCACAUCAAGUUAAAAAGCUUCUGCACAGCAAAGGAGACAAUCAACAAAGUGAAGAGACAACCCACAGAAUGCGAGAAAAUACUACCCAUCUGACAAGGGAUUAAUAACCAGAAUAUAUAAGAAGCUCAAACAACUUCAAUAGAAAAAAAUCUAGUAAUCUGAUUUAAAAAAUGGGCAAAACAUUUGAACAGAUAUUUCUCAAAAGAAGACAUACAAAUAGCAAACUGGCAUAUGAAAACAUGCUAAACAUCACUGAUUAUUAGAGAGAUGUAAAUCAAAAUGACAAUGAGAUAUCAUCUCACCCCAGUUAAAAUGGCUUAUAUCCAAAAGACAGGCAAUAACAAAUGCUGGCAAGGAGAUGGAGAAAAGGGAACUCUUUAUUUUAUUUAUUUAUUUAUUUAUUUAUUUAUUUAUUUAUUUAUUUGAGACAGAGUUUUGCUUUUGUUGCCCAGGCUGGAGUACAAUGGCAUGAUCUUAGCUCACUGCAACCUCCACCUCCUGGGUUCAAGUGAUUCUCCUGCCUCAGCCUCCUGAGUAGCUGGGAUUACAGGCAUGUGCCACCAUGCCCGGCUAAUAUUGUAUUUUUAGUAGAGACGGGGUUUCUCCAUGUUGGUCAGGCUAGCCUUGAACUCCCAACCUCAGGUGAGCUGCCUGCCUCAGCCUCCCAAAGUGCUGGGAUUACAGGCAUGAGCCACCACUCCCAGCUGAAAAGGGAACGCUUGUAUGCUGUUGGUAUGAAUGUAAAUUAGUACAACCAUUAUGGAGAACAGUUUGAAGAUUCCUCAAAAAAACUAAAAAAAGAGGGC
rnacentral:lncRNA from 10 species